GACGAACCGAGCGAACGUUGUUCGGAAUAACUGGGCUUAAAGGGCGCGUAGGCGGGCUGUCAAGUCUGGGGUGAAAUCCCGCGGCUCAACCGUGGAACUGCCUCAGAUACCGACGGCCUCGAGGGAGAUAGGGGCGAGCGGAACUAAUGGUGGAGCGGUGAAAUGCGUUGAUAUCAUUAGGAACUCCGGUGGCGAAGGCGGCUCGCUGGAUCUUUUCUGACGCUGAGGCGCGAAAGCUAGGGGAGCAAACGGG
rnacentral:rRNA from 1 species